rnacentral:tRNA from 1 species
CGGGGCGUAGCGCAGCCUGGGAGCGCACCUGAAUGGGGUUCAGGUGGUCGGAGGUUCAAAUCCUCUCGCCCCGACCA